rnacentral:rRNA from 1 species
UUCCGGUUGAUCCCGCCGGAGGCCACUGCUAUCGGGGUUCGAUUAAGCCAUGCGAGUCGAGAGGGUUCGGCCCUCGGCAUACUGCUCAGUAACACGUGGAUAACCUGCCCUAAGGAAGGGGAUAACCCCGGGAAACUGGGGAUAAUACCCUAUAGGUUACAGAUGCUGGAAUGCUCUGUAACUCAAAGCUCCGGCGCCUUAGGAUGGAUCUGCGGCCGAUUAGGUUGUUGUUGGGGUAACGGCCCAACAAGCCAGUAAUCGGUACGGGUUGUGGGAGCAAGAGCCCGGAGUUGGAUUCUGAGACACGAAUCCAGGCCCUACGGGGCGCAGCAGGCGCGAAAACUUUACAAUGCGGGCAACCGUGAUAAGGGAACCUCGAGUGCCUGUAUAUGCAGGCUGUCCAGGUGUCUAAAGCACACCUGAAGAAAGGGCCGGGCAAGACCGGUGCCAGCCGCCGCGGUAAUACCGGCGGCUCGAGUGGUGGCCACUUUUAUUGGGCUUAAAGCGUUCGUAGCUGGGUCGUUAAGUCUCUUGGGAAAUCCGGCAGCUUAACUGUCGGGCGUCUAA